rnacentral:misc_RNA from 1 species
AAGUCGUAACAAGGUUUCCGUAGGUGAACCUGCGGAAGGAUCAUUAUUGAAACAUUGUAAAGGAAGGUUGAGCUGGCUCUUCACGGGCAUGUGCUUGCCUUUCUUUCAAUCUUCAUCCACCUGUGCACUUUUUGUAGGGAGCUUUGAGAAUGGGACCUCUCGCGGGGUCUCCUUAGUAUUAGGCUCUCUAUGUCUUUACACACUCUUGAAUGUAUGUCGUUGAAUGUCUUUUACGGGGACUUAAUUGACCCUUUAAAAACUAUACAACUUUCAGCAACGGAUCUCUUGGCUCUC